rnacentral:rRNA from 1 species
CCGAGGCCGUUCUCCUUCAAGCCGGUCUCGUUGCAGGGCAGAUGCCGAAUUCGCUUCGUGUCAGAUUUGCUUAAUGCAAAUGGGUCUUGGAAAGUGGAGCUAUUACAACAGUAUUUUCUGCCAAUUGAUGUGAUUGAGAUUUUGAAGAUUCGAGCUUCGCCAAGGUUGGAUGAGGAUGUGAUUGCAUGGGCCCUUGGGAGACAUGGAGUUUUUUCUGUAAAGUCAGCAUAUCAGUUUGCGUUUCAGGAAUUGUACGGAGCGAGCACAGCCUCGUCCAGUAACUCGGCUUCAGGAGGAAGGAGUUGUUGGAAGCUUAUUUGGAACAGUGCAGUUCCUCCAACGAUCUGUAACUUUGCAUGGCGUCUGGCGACAGACGCUCUUCCUACGUGGAAGAACAAGAACAAAAGAGGGCUCGAGCUUGUGAGCGGCUGUCCGAUUUGCGGUACAGAGAUAGAGGACAAUUUCCACCCUUUUCCGAGAUGUCAGCGGGGGAGGGAUCUGUAUAAGGAGAUGGCGAAGGUAUGGAGGUUGCCGGUGAUCGAAUCCUUUGUGCCCAAUGGGAGGGAAUGGCUUCUCCAUGCGCUGGACUCCCUAAGUGAGCUUGAUCGGUGAUGGGUUUUGCUCAUUUUCUGGAGAAGUUGGUACGUGCGGAAUGAAAUCAUACAUCAUAAACCGGCCCCGGACAUGGAUGUAUCCGUGAAUUUCCUGAGAAGAUAUUUGGAUGAAUUAGUGGGGAUCAAAAUGAACCAUGGUAUGGAUGUGGCUAAAGGUAAGGGAUACCUGACUUUUGAUCACACUAGAGAAGUGAGGGAGAUUCAGAGUGCUGGCCCAGUGUGUAAGUGGCAACCCCCCGCCGAGGGCUGGGUAAAACUAAACACGGACGGGUCCUUUGUUGAUAGUGAUCUUGCGGGCACUGGUAUGAUUCUCCGAAACUCCAGUGGAGGGAUUAUUUUUUCGGCCUGCAGAUCGCUAUUUUCUUGCAGAGAUGUGGUUGAAGCAGAACUAGGUGCAAUCAUGGAAGGUUUAUCGCUGGCUAUACAACGCUCCGAUUUGCCUAUUGUUAUCGAAUCGGAUUCCAGCUUGGCAGUGUCUAUGGUAUCCUCUGGCAAAGUUGAUCGUUCAAUUUAUGCUGCUUUGGUUAAUGAAAUAAGACUGCUGAUGCGUCUUAGACAAACUUGUGUUACUCAUAUUAUGAGAGUCCGGAAUAAGCUAGAUAGUUUGGCUAGGUUUGCUCGAUUUGAGGGGCGAACUAUGACUUGGCUGGGAUCUGGGCCAGAGGAGGUCUUGGGUAUAUCCCAUGAUGAUUGUAAAGACAUUGAUAUUUGA